AAUUAUAAAUCUCUCUCUCUCUCUCUCUCUCUCUCUCUCUCGUAAGUAUUGCUAUCAACGAGAUAUAAAGCAGCAAGCUUGCAGUAGUUGCAAAAAGAAUUUAUGUUAAUGAAUAAAGGGAGAGAAAGGGCACUUACAAAUACAAAGGUGAAGCACAAAAUUUGAAGCUUUCUGUGAAGAUUUUAUUAGUGCGUGGAGUCCCAAAAGAGCCCCAGAAGAUGGGUUGGGAGAAGAUGGACUCACCGGGUAUUUGAAGAAAUGUUUAGGAGCUCAAUGUGCGAGACAAAGAUGGGAAUGGAAGACGGAGGUUUUCAAAUUUCAAAAGAAAAGUCACUCGGGAUGAAACCCUAGAUGGUAGGAUCAAAAUCUUAUUGGAUUUUGAUCGUCGGAGACUCGGAGCUGGAGAGUGGAGCCUACAUCUUGAUAGUCAUCCUCAACCGCUAGAUUUGCAGAGCAUGGUCUCCUCAUAGUCAUCCUUGUAUUCGAUUUUUUCCCAUUCUGCAGGGGCACUGGAUCAUCCAAGGGAAUCACGGCACUUAUAAAUUGACGCGUGGCAGUAAAGGGCAUAAUAGUAUUUUGGAUAUUGAAUGGAUGGUGGCUAGGGUUUCGAAUUGAGAUAUGGAAGCCGAGGAAAGGGUCGGCCUCUCCAUAUAUAUAUGGCCUCAUUAUCAUAAAGUUUUGAGCUUCCGUUCUUCUCUACAGUCGAUUGAAAUGUAAGUGGUUUAGGGAUCUCUUAACCUUGUCUGAUAAUAGCUCGUAUUUGCGAUUUUCCUUUGUUUUUCUUUUCAAAUCAAAGCCUCUGUUCGGUUCAACAGGAAAGGGGAGACAGCUCUGUGUCUCCUGCGUUCAGAAGAACAUUGAGGUAUAGCAAAAAAUCAAUGGCCGAGAUAUCGUUUCGGUUGUCAUCUUUUUUUAUUGGCGAUUCGAUUGUUGCUCGUCCACAUUUGUUACUUUCAUUGUUUUGUUUUAUCCUUAUCUUUUAAAGAAAUCAGAAUCUGAAAGCUUUUAAGAAUGA